GACAGAGGGUGCAAACGUUGUUCGGAAUUACUGGGCGUAAAGCGCGUGUAGGCUGCUUGGAAAGUCGGAUGUGAAAGCCCCGGGCUCAACCUGGGAAGUGCAUUCGAAACUUCCGAGCUGGAGUCCUGGAGAGGAAGGCGGAAUUCGUCGGUGUAGAGGUGAAAUUCGUAGAUAUCGAGAGGAACACCGGUGGCGAAGGCGGCCUUCUGGGACGAGUGACUGACGCUGAGACGCGAAAGCGUGGGGAGCAAACAGG
rnacentral:rRNA from 1 species